rnacentral:rRNA from 1 species
GCUUGCUUCUGCUGGAUUAGUGGCGAACGGGUGAGUAACACGUGAGUAACCUGCCCUUGACUCUGGGAUAAGCGUUGGAAACGACGUCUAAUACCGGAUACGAGCUAGGACCGCAUGGUCACUAGUUGGAAAGAACUUUGGUCAAGGAUGGACUCGCGGCCUAUCAGCUAGUUGGUGAGGUAACGGCCCACCAAGGCGACGACGGGUAGCCGGCCUGAGAGGGUGACCGGCCACACUGGGACUGAGACACGGCCCAGACUCCUACGGGAGGCAGCAGUGGGGAAUAUUGCACAAUGGGCGAAAGCCUGAUGCAGCAACGCCGCGUGAGGGACGACGGNCUUCGGGUUGUAAACCUCUUUUAGCAGGGAAGAAGCGAAAGUGACGGUACCUGCAGAANAAGCCACCGGCUAACUACGUGCCAGCAGCCGCGGUAAUACGUAGGGUGCAAGCGUUGUCCGGAAUUAUUGGGCGUAAAAGAGCUCGUAGGCGGUUUGUCGCGUCUGCUGUGAAAAUCCGAGGCUCAACCUCGGACCUGCAGUGGGUACGGGCAAACUAGAGUGCGGUAGGGGAGAUUGGAAUUCCUGGUGUAGCGGUGGAAUGCGCAGAUAUCAGGAGGAACACCAAU